ACAUUAAGGUCCAAAGGGUCCAAAAUUAAACUUAGUUUGAUUUUAACAAAAAUUGAAUUUUAAGUUUAAGUUCUUAUACCUAUGUUUAGUCAACUAUUUAAUCACAAUCCAAAUUCAGAGCUGUAUCAAGCUUGAAUGUUGUGUCCAUAGUUGCCCCAACUGUUCAGGGUUUGAACUCUGCGGUCGUAUAAAGCUGCGCCCUGCGGAGC
rnacentral:lncRNA from 1 species